UGGUAGUGCUCCGGAGAGGAUGCCGGAGGCUGCGCCUUCUUCCGCGAAUGCCGAACCACCAUCCGUCGCGGCGAAAUCAGACGCGUGCUCGCUCUUUUGCGUGCGCCGGCCAUCUCUAGCUCGAUCCUUUUUAUUUAUCGGUUAUUUUCUUUCGAUGGAUACAGGGGGUGUGAGCAAUUCAAAGUCGAGGAGUCGUCGACUAACGUACCAGCGAGUCGUGGUCGUUGGUUUCGCGGGCAAAGUUCCAGUGAAGGUGGAAGGGGUGAGAUGGAGAUUUGAUUUCGAAAGUAAUGAAGAUGAUGCGUGGAGGAUGUUUCGUCGAGUUUGAAGAGGUUUUGAGAGGUUGUGAGAGGUCAAACGAGUCUGUUACGCGGAUGACAUUUCCCUAGGAAUAGAAAGGGCGAGGUGGAGGUUCUAGCUGGAAAAAAAUGAAGUCGAUAUAAGAAUGAUACUUAGCAUGGAACGAAGAGGCAUUGGAAGGUUGUGAGAGAUUUGUGAAGUUAUAUUUGGGAUAGUGUGUAUCCAAUCAGUGAUUUGGAUAGGUCUUAAAGCUUAAUUUGUUGAAUUCGUUUUCAGAAAGUGUUAACUUUUCCCUCUUAGAAUUAGUUACUUUUCUUUUAAGAUUGACCAGACAUUAAUUCUAAAAAUGAAUUCACAGAUUAUACAAGUUCAUAUAUACGUGUUGUACAUACAACAUCUUCGGAGAGAAUAACAUUCCACUGAUAAUUCUCACUAUCCAAAACUGGCAUAAACUUCAUUGAAGUUAGCAACGUGAUCUUGACACAUUGCGAGGAUCCAAUUUUCCACCCAUUUGUCGGUAAAAUAAUGUUGUGCGCGGUCAUUGUUACUGCGGCUUCGUAUGGCAGCUGAUCAGGGCCGCCGCUGUCUUUCUACCCGCGUGCUACCAACAGCGACUCAUUUUUUUUUCCUGGCGUACUCAACCCUCACGUUCUCACUGUAAUCGUAUGGCUACGUGUUUAAAAUGUUACGUUCACUAGAGGUUAAUUAUAGCAGUGUAGAUAAGGAGAGUAUGUAUAUUUAUGCAAAGUUGUAUUUUUACGAACGCGAAGGAACAAAUGGAAUCAAUCCUAGCUUUUUUAUUUCUAUCCUAGCAAUUUUCUAUCACGAUAAAUCAAGAUUAUUUCACAUCAGAUCUAAACUUGUUUGAAAUGAGAGCUAUAUUAAUAAGCUCAUACUUUUUAACUAUUUAUAUGCUACCUUUAUUUAUUUUCAUAUAUGGAGUCUAUAAUUCGUCAGAAUGAUAUCGAUAGGAAUGUAUAUAGAGAAUUUGUACGUUCGAAAUUGGAGAGCAAUUACACAUAGAAUAGAAAGGACGGGUGUGGAAAUAUCGAAGGUAUAUAACCGAUCGACCAGCAAAACUUGAACGCUUUGUGCGACGAGACUGGGACGAGUCACGAUUAUCUGGCAAAGUUUGAAAAUUCGAUAUUGUAAUUUUGGAUAAAAGCGAUUACGUUUAAAGCAGCGGGAUUCGAUGUUUAGCCACGUUAAUAUCGAUCAUCUGUACACAAUUAAGGCAAUAUAAUAUCGCUGGAGUUUCAGAUGAAAGCAAGCCCCGGCUAUAAAAUCUGCUCUUUCAACGGACCCAAGUGCCCAUGAAAUUAAAAGCUUUCCAUCUAAUUGCGAUAACAUCGAACGCGAUUAACCGAUAAUUCUCGAUAAAUGUGAUCAUAUAUGAAAUUUCGUGCAUAACUGGCCUCUGUGUAAUUUCAAAGCCUCGACAUGUUCAUGACCAUGAACAUCCUAAAACGAAAAAGCUAUCGAACUUCUCAGAAAUCAAACAGAUCAUUAACUGAUCAUUAAUAUCCAAACGUGAGGGUAACAAAUAUUUAAUUUCGUAGCUUUACUCGUUGCAAGAAGAUGAUAUAAAUAAAUUCUAUGGUAAAUUUAAAAAACAAUAUUUGUAACAUCAUCGCUUUCUCGAACUUCCUAAUUCACUGAAUCGAUCAAAAUAUUUUCUGCUAUUGCAAAAUCUCGAAAUGUUCAGUCCACGAGAAUUCUAAAAUGGAAAAGUAAUUACUUGUUUCCUUAAAUGCAAAGAAGACCAAAAGAAGAAGAGCGAGGGAAAAAAGAAUCUUGAUCAGGCUUUCGUUUCACGUUCGAACAACGCUCCUUUUGUUUCCAUCGUUUUGGAACCGCUCGAAGGGAAAGAGAGAACUUCCACAUCGUGCAUCGAUCACCGCAAAACUCGAAGCAACUUUUUCAAGAAUCCCUUUGAAUUUCUUCCCCGUUGCUUCAGUCAGUUUCGACUACAGAGAAAACGAGCUCUCUUUCCUCUCUCCUUUUCCUUUCACUCCGACACACAGACAUUUCUCUUCGAUGAACGUUAGCGUAUUUUCCUUUCUUCUCUUCUUUCUCUCUCUUUUUCUCUCUUGCCAACUUUUUUUUUUACAUAUCGUAAUAGCUCAGGCCUGCCGUCUUUGACGCCCUUUGUCGCGCAUCAGCGGCGCGAGUUUCGAGACAUCGCUCUUCCUUGAAACUUUCUCAUUCGUCAAAUUAGAAUUCGCCUUUCCGCCGGCGCGACGGCGACGCUCCCCGGAGGCUCUCUCGCUCUCCAACGCCACCUCUCCUCGCCUUCGUCGAGACAAUGGAUCAAAGGAUCACACACAGCCUCUCCUGGACCUUAAAUUCCGCUGUUGCUGCUCUCCCAAGGAACACCGACCGACGGGGCACGUCGAAAAGUCGCGUCGCGACGCGAUUGUCACCAAACCCCUCCCCUGGAAAGAUCAAACGACCAACCGGGACACGAGUCGCUCGUUUCCAAGUGUUUCCCAUCGAGAUCUCUCUGAACCUGUCUACUUCCGAAGAAUUAAAUACCAUUGUACUAACAGAUGGGGAAAAAGGUGGGUUUUUUUAAAUAUUUUGGUUUGGAGUUUGGAAUUUAUCGAAGAUUUGUAAUGUUGGUUAUUCACAGCACGAAUGUUAUUGAGACAUCAAUCAUGCAGUUUGGAAGAGUUUGAAGUAGUAGGACUUCAUUGGGUUUUGAACAUGAAGGAUCGAAAGACAUAUAUAUUGAUGACUUCUUCUAAAGGCCUUUGAUUCUAAAAGAAUAGCA